AUUGAACGCUGGCGGAAUGCUUUACACAUGCAAGUCGAACGGCAGCACGGGAGCUUGCUCCUGGUGGCGAGUGGCGAACGGGUGAGUAAUGCGUCGGAACGUACCGAGUAAUGGGGGAUAACGCAGCGAAAGCUGUGCUAAUACCGCAUACGCCCUGAGGGGGAAAGUGGGGGAUCGCAAGACCUCACGUUAUUCGAGCGGCCGACGUCUGAUUAGCUAGUUGGUGGGGUAAUGGCCUACCAAGGCGACGAUCAGUAGCGGGUCUGAGAGGAUGAUCCGCCACACUGGAACUGAGACACGGUCCAGACUCCUACGGGAGGCAGCAGUGGGGAAUUUUGGACAAUGGGGGCAACCCUGAUCCAGCCAUUCCGCGUGAGUGAAGAAGGCCUGCGGGUUGUAAAGCACUUUCGGCAGGAAAGAAAAGCCAUGCGCUAAUACCGCAUGACCUUGACGUUACCUGCAAAAGAAGCACCGGCUAACUCCGUG
rnacentral:rRNA from 1 species